UACGUAGGGGGCUAGCGUUGCUCGGAAUUACUGGGCGUAAAGCGCACGUAGGCGGGGCGUUAAGUCGGGGGUGAAAUCCAUUGGCUUAACUGGUGGCUUGCUUUCGAUACGGGCAGACUGGAGGUAUGCAGAGGAGAACGGAAUUCCUGGUGUAGCGGUGAAAUGCGCAGAUAUCAGGAGAAACACCGGUGGCGAAGGCGGUUCUCUGGGCAUGUCCUGACGCUGAGGAGCGAAAGUGUGGGGAGCGAACAGG
rnacentral:rRNA from 1 species